rnacentral:tRNA from 1 species
GAGGAGGUAGUGCAGCAGUUGGUGGCCUCAGAGCCCUUUGUCGAUGCCGUGUUGGACGGCCUCGUUGCCAACGAGGAGUUGGGAGUUCGAUUCUCCCUCGUCCCA